AGAGUUAAACAGUACGUGAAAUUGUUGAAAGGGAAACGAUUGAAGCCAGUCGUACUGGCGGGAAAUCAACUUCUCGAGUGCUUGUCGUGGGUGACGUUGAGCUUCACGGCCUUUGUUGCUUACGUUAUGGUGCUUUUGAGGUGCACUUUUCCGUAGGUAGGUCAACAUCGAUUUUGAUCGUCAUAAAAUGAUCGGAGGAAUGUGGCUCUGAUCUCGUAUCGGAGUGUUAUAGCCUUUGGUAAAUGUGACGAUUGGGAUCGAGGAUUGCAACGAAUAUCCUUUUGGGGCUAUCCGUCUGAUUUCUGAUUGUUGGCUCAGGUGUCGAAAGCGUGCUUAUGACAUUCUAGUUGGCGGUCAAAAGGUUAGAACGUGAUUACAUUCGUUAAGGAUGUUGACGUAAUGGCUUUAAACGACC
rnacentral:rRNA from 1 species